UACGUAGGGUGCGAGCGUUGUCCGGAAUUAUUGGGCGUAAAGAGCUCGUAGGCGGCCUGUCGCGUCGGAUGUGAAAGCCCGGGGCUUAACCCCGGGUCUGCAUUCGAUACGGGCAGGCUAGAGUGUGGUAGGGGAGAUCGGAAUUCCUGGUGUAGCGGUGAAAUGCGCAGAUAUCAGGAAGAACACCCGUGGCGAAGGCGGCUCUCUGGGACGGUACUGACGCUGAGACGCGAAAGCGUGGGGAGCGAACAGG
rnacentral:rRNA from 1 species